rnacentral:rRNA from 1 species
AGUGAACGCUGGCGGUAGGCCUAACACAUGCAAGUCGAACGGUAGCACAGAGGAGCUUGCUCCUUGGGUGACGAGUGGCGGACGGGUGAGGAAUGCAUCGGAAUCUACUCUUUCGUGGGGGAUAACGUAGGGAAACUUACGCUAAUACCGCAUACGACCUACGGGUGAAAGCAGGGGACCUUCUAGGCCUUGCGCGAUUGAAUGAGCCGAUGUCCGAUUAGCUAGUUGGCGGGGUAAUGGCCCACCAAGGCGACGAUCGGUAGCUGGUCUGAGCGGAUGAUCAGACACACUGGAACUGGGACACGGUCCAGACUCCUACGGGAGGCAGCAGUGGGGAAUAUUGGACAAUGGGCGCAAGCCUGAUCCAGCCAUACCGCGUGGGUGAAGAAGGCCUUCGGGUUGUAAAGCCCUUUUGUUGGGAAAGAAAAGCAGCCGGCUAAUACCCGGUUGUUCUGACGGUACCCAAAGAAUAAGCACCGGCUAACUUCGUGCCAGCAGCCGCGGUAA